rnacentral:misc_RNA from 1 species
GAUGAAGAACGCAGCGAAAUGCGAUAAGUAAUGUGAAUUGCAGAAUUCAGUGAAUCAUCGAAUCUUUGAACGCACAUUGCGCCCCCUGGUAUUCCGGGGGGCAUGCCUGUCCGAGCGUCAUUACAACCCUCAAGCUCAGCUUGGUGUUGGGCCCCGCCGCCCCGGCGGGCCCUAAAGUCAGUGGCGGUGCCGUCCGGCUCCGAGCGUAGUAAUUCUUCUCGCUCUGGAGGUCCGGUCGUGUGCUCGCCAGCAACCUCCAAUUUUUUUCAGGUUGACCUCGGAUCAGGUAGGGAUACCCGCUGAACUUAAGCAUAUCAAUAAGCGGAGGA